rnacentral:rRNA from 1 species
CCUACGGGUGGCAGCAGUGAGGAAUAUUGGUCAAUGGACGAGAGCCUGAACCAGCCAAGUAGCGUGAAGGAUGACUGCCCUACGGGUUGUAAACUUCUUUUAUAAAGGAAUAAAGUGAGGCACGUGUGCCUUUUUGCAUGUACUUUAUGAAUAAGGAUCGGCUAACUCCGUGCCAGCAGCCGCGGUAAUACGGAGGAUCCAAGCGUUAUCCGGAUUUAUUGGGUUUAAAGGGUGCGUAGGUGGUCGGUUAAGUUAGAUGUGAAAUUCCGAGGCUCAACUUCAGAAUUGCAUCUGAUACUGUCAGGCUAGAGAAUAGUUGAGGUAGGCGGAAUGCAUGGUGUAGCGGUGAAAUGCUUAGAGAUCAUAAAGAACACCGAUUGCGAAGGCAGCUUACCAAGCUACUUCUGACAUUGAGGCACGAAAGCGUGGGGAGCAAACAGGAUUAGAUACCCGUGUAGUC